rnacentral:rRNA from 1 species
AGUGAACGCUGGCGGUAGGCCUAACACAUGCAAGUCGAACGGCAGCACAGUAAGAGCUUGCUCUUACGGGUGGCGAGUGGCGGACGGGUGAGGAAUACAUCGGAAUCUACUUUUUCGUGGGGGAUAACGUAGGGAAACUUACGCUAAUACCGCAUACGACCUACGGGUGAAGGCAGGGGAUCUUCGGACCUUGCGCGAUUGAAUGAGCCGAUGUCGGAUUAGCUAGUUGGCGGGGUAAAGGCCCACCAAGGCGACUAUCCGUAGCUGGUCUGAGAGGAUGAUCAGCCACACUGGAACUGAGACACGGUCCAGACUCCUACGGGAGGCAGCAGUGGGGAAUAUUGGACAAUGGGCGCAAGCCUGAUCCAGCCAUACCGCGUGGGUGAAGAAGGCCUUCGGGUUGUAAAGCCCUUUUGUUGGGAAAGAAAAGCAGCAGGUUAAUACCCCGCUGUUCUGACGGUACCCAAAGAAUAAGCACCGGCUAACUUCGUG